rnacentral:rRNA from 1 species
AGUCGUAACAAGGUUUCCGUAGGUGAACCUGCGGAAGGAUCAUUAAUGAAACGAAGGGACGCUCUUUUUAGAGGUCCGACCAAUCAUUUACCUUUACACUGUGCACAUACUACUUUUUUACACCAAUUUUUAACGCAUUAGUUUUAAGAAUGUAAAAUCAGUCUCGAAAGAGCAUAAAAUAAACAAAACUUUCAGCAACGGAUCUCUUGGCUCUCGCAUCGAUGAAGAACGCAGCGAAAUGCGAUACGUAAUGUGAAUUGCAGAAUUCAGUGAAUCAUCGAAUCUUUGAACGCACCUUGCACUCUUUGGUAUUCCGAAGAGUAUGUCUGUUUGAGUGUCAUGAAACUCUCAACCCCCUCAUUUUGUAAUGAAAUGCAGCGUGGGCUUGGAUUAUGGCUGCCUGCCGGCUUAAUUGCCGACUCAGCUGAAAUAUACGAGCAACCCAGCUUAAAAACCUGACGGCUUGACUCGGCGUAAUAACUAUUUCGCUGAGGACGUCUUACCUUUAAAUCGUUAGUGGGGCUUCUAAUGCAUUUAUAAUUUAAGCUUUAGACCUCAAAUCCAGUCAGGACUACCCGCUGAGACUUAAAGCUAACACCCAAAAAGAAUAAAAGUCG